GCUAGCUACAGGCUUAACACAUGCGAGUCGAGGGGCAGCAUGGUCUUAGCUUGCUAAGGCCGAUGGCGACCGGCGCACGGGUGAGUAACACGUAUCCAACCUGCCGUCUACUCUUGGACAGCCUUCUGAAAGGAAGAUUAAUACAAGAUGGCAUCAUGAGUCCGCAUGUUCACAUGAUUAAAGGUAUUCCGGUAGACGAUGGGGAUGCGUUCCAUUAGAUAGUAGGCGGGGUAACGGCCCACCUAGUCUUCGAUGGAUAGGGGUUCUGAGAGGAAGGUCCCCCACAUUGGAACUGAGACACGGUCCAAACUCCUACGGGAGGCAGCAGUGAGGAAUAUUGGUCAAUGGGCGAGAGCCUGAACCAGCCAAGUAGCGUGAAGGAUGACUGCCCUAUGGGUUGUAAACUUCUUUUAUAAAGGAAUAAAGUCGGGUAUGGAUACCCGUUUGCAUGUACUUUAUGAAUAAGGAUCGGCUAACUCCGUGCCAGCAGCCGCGGUAAUACGGAGGAUCCGAGCGUUAUCCGGAUUUAUUGGGUUUAAAGGGAGCGUAGAUGGAUGUUUAAGUCAGUUGUGAAAGUUUGCGGCUCAACCGUAAAAUUGCAGUUGAUACUGGAUAUCUUGAGUGCAGUUGAGGCAGGCGGAAUUCGUGGUGUAGCGGUGAAAUGCUUAGAUAUCACGAAGAACUCCGAUUGCGAAGGCAGCCUGCUAAGCUGCAACUGACAUUGAGGCUCGAAAGUGUGGGUAUCAAACAGGAUUAGAUACCCUGGUAGUCCACACGGUAAACGAUGAAUACUCGCUGUUUGCGAUAUACUGCAAGCGGCCAAGCGAAAGCGUUAAGUAUUCCACCUGGGGAGUACGCCGGCAACGGUGAAACUCAAAGGAAUUGACGGGGGCCCGCACAAGCGGAGGAACAUGUGGUUUAAUUCGAUGAUACGCGAGGAACCUUACCCGGGCUUAAAUUGCAGAUGAAUUACGGUGAAAGCCGUAAGCCGCAAGGCAUCUGUGAAGGUGCUGCAUGGUUGUCGUCAGCUCGUGCCGUGAGGUGUCGGCUUAAGUGCCAUAACGAGCGCAACCCUUGUUGUCAGUUACUAACAGGUUCCGCUGAGGACUCUGACAAGACUGCCAUCGUAAGAUGUGAGGAAGGUGGGGAUGACGUCAAAUCAGCACGGCCCUUACGUCCGGGGCUACGCACGUGUUACAAUGGGGGGUACAGAGGGCCGCUACCACGCGAGUGGAUGCCAAUCCCCAAAACCUCUCUCAGUUCGGACUGGAGUCUGCAACCCGACUCCACGAAGCUGGAUUCGCUAGUAAUCGCGCAUCAGCCACGGCGCGGUGAAUACGUUCCCGGGCCUUGUACACACCGCCCGUCAAGCCAUGGGAGCCGGGGGUACCUGAAGUGCGUAACCGCGAGGAGCGCCCUAGGGUAAAACUGGUGACUGGGG
rnacentral:rRNA from 1 species